rnacentral:lncRNA from 1 species
UUCAUUUAAAAUGUGAAUUCAAAGUUACUGUCUAGUGUCCUUUAACUUCAGCAUGAAGGACUAUCUUUAGCAUUUUUUGUAGGACAGGUCUACUAGCGAUGAGCUCCCUGAGUUUUUGUCUAUCUGGGAAUGUCUUAACUUCUCCAUUUUUUUUUUUUUUUUUUGAGGCAGGGUCUCUGUCACCCAGGCUGGAGUGCAAUGGCAUGAUCUUGGCUCACUGCGGCCUCCUCCUGGGUUCAAGUGAUUCUCCUGUCUCAGCCUCCUAAGUAGCUGGGACUACAGGUGUGUGCCACCACACCUGGCUAAUUUUGUAUUUUUAUAGUGAUGGGGUUUCACCAAGUUGGCCAAGCUGGUCUUGAACUCCUGACCUUAGGUGAUCUACCUGCCUUGGCCUCCCAAAGUGCUGGGAUUACGGGUCUGAGUCCCGCCCCUGGCCCGCCCUGGCUAGUCUUGAACUCCUAGCCUCAAGCAAUUCUUCUGCCUCAGCCUCCCAAAGUGCUGGAAUUACAAGUGUGAGCCACCAUGCCUGACCUCUACUGUUGAAUUGUUUCUAGUUUUUCAUUGUUAAAAGCAAUGCAUCAUUUUACAUUAUUGAAAUUUAGAGUUUUUAUUAUUAUGUAUGCUAAAUAUUAUGCUCGUUAUUUUUUUUGUUGCUAUUCAAAGUCAUCAAGACACUUUUAGCUCUUGUUGGUAGGUGAGGCAUGGGCCAAAAGAACUAAAGAUAAAGGAGCAGCUGGAUUUAAUCUGCAAGCAGCUGAACUGAUGCUGUGAAAAGGGCUUGGGCAGCCUAUUGGUAAAAGAACAAUAAACAAAGAUGUAAGAAAAAGUAACAGGUUUUUACUAAUUUAACAAAUGUAAAGACACUUGCAUUUUUAAAAGCUAUCUUUUUUUUUCUGUUUAUUUCACAGUUUUUAAAGAAGAUGUAACCAAUUCUUAAUACCUAAAAGUAGAAAGCACGGGCAAGUGUAUAAAUGUUUUCUCAUUCCUUUCUACUUCUGGGUGGAAGCCUGAAUGCGUAUCUAUUAUUGCAAUUACUUCCUAAUCCUCUGCAAGUGGCAGCUUCCGGAGAAGCAAGCAAGGGCUGUGAGAAAAACUUUAAAGCCUCUAAAGCUUAAACUGAAAUUUAAAUUUACUUAAAAAGAUCAGCAACAAUAAAC